AAGUCGUAACAAGGUUUCCGUAGGUGAACCUGCGGAAGGAUCAUUACCGAGUUUUCGGGCUUCGGCUCGACUCUCCCACCCUUUGUGAACGUACCUCUGUUGCUUUGGCGGCUCCGGCCGCCAAAGGACCUCCAAACUCCAGUCAGUAAACGCAGACGUCUGAUAAACAAGUUAAUAAACUAAAACUUUCAACAACGGAUCUCUUGGUUCUG
rnacentral:misc_RNA from 1 species